rnacentral:rRNA from 1 species
UACAGGGGGUGCAAACGUUGCUCGGAAUCAUUGGGCGUAAAGCGCACGUAGGCGGUUCGUUAUGUCGGAUGUGAAGGCCCUUGGCUUAACCGAGGAAGUGCAUCCGAAACUGGCGAGCUAGAGUACGAAAGAGGAUCGCGGAAUUCCCGGUGUAGAGGUGAAAUUCGUAGAUAUCGGGAGGAACGACCGGUGGCGAAGGCGGCGAUCUGGGUCGAUACUGACGCUGAGGUGCGAAAGCGUGGG